CACGUUUAAAGAUGUAUAUUAGUUGAAAAAAGUUGCUAAUAAAACAUAUACCCAUAUGGACAACACAUUUAAAGCAACACCGAUACAUAUCUCUAGCCACACAUGACCGUGCAAAACCAGGGUCGAUUGGGUUCUUCAAGUUUGAUGGAGUAUUCAGACCCCGAAAAUAUCACAGCCUCUCGUCACCUAUGACUCGCUCAACAAGGAAAGAUCCUUUAAUCUAUUACCGCUGCCCGACAACCGAUGGCCCACAUUUGCCCAUUUCCGAUAACCACACCCGGACGCCCAUCCCUUUCCAUGUUCUCUUUCAGCAGGUUUGAUAAAUCAGUUCCAUAUAUUCAUUCCUGAAACAACCCCAAAUUUGUGGGUUUCAUUACUAAUUUUCAAACCACACCUAUCAACCAAACACCCCAUGUACAGAAUCAUUCAUACCCAUUCCCAUGCUCUUAAACCAAACCAAACACCACCUAGAUACACACAUUAUAUGGAAUCAAGAACCAAACUUACUACCAUCCACUAGACAUGAAAAUCAUGUGGGUCCCACAAAUGGAUGCACUUGGGAUCUUUGAUAACGUUUAUGCUAACGCUAACGCCAUCUCCACGGCCCGUAAAACAAGCGUUUUUUUCUUAAUAUCUCGGCUUCCCUAGCUAUCUGGAUAUCCGAAGCCCAGAACAUUCUGUGUAUAGAUUUGAUUAUAAACCGAGGAAGCAAUGCCGCCACUAUUAUAAGCCAAAUCGAGAGCCAAUAUGUAGGUUCCUUUCCAAAUUCAUAUAUUGUCCUGACAAAAGUUCGAUAUAAAAUUAGUUACUUGUUAAUAGGGGUUCAUAAACUCUGGAAACUGCCCACACCAAAGCAAGCCAGCCGGUUUGUUUGGUUCACGGUUCGGUUUUGGACGGUUUAACAGCCUAGCAGACGGUUUAGAACUAGGAACAAGUCAUUUAACCUUCUACUUUUUUAACGAGUAAACUACAUGGAUGGCCCCUUUGUUAAGUACACAUGACAAUCGACCCGCUAUAUGAUUUUUAGCGCCUAAAUAGCGUGAAAAUAGCUGAUUUAGUGGUUUUGUUUUCCUUUUUUUGAUAAAUAUAGAUAAGAGAUUGAAAAGAAGAAGCGUAUUUCUUCCAUAUAUACCGGAUUUUUGAUAAAAAUAUACAUGUCAAGUAUUUUUAAAAUUCCCUAAACAUGAAAUAGCGACCGCUAUUUCAUCGUCAUCGGUCUAUCGCUACGUAGCGUAUAGGUAGCUUGUCGCUAUCGUCCGCUAUUCACUGUUGAGAACUAUACUCCUAUGAAAUAUGGUAACUUAGAACGGGUCAAAAGGAUACAAAGUAAUACUUUUUUUUAAACAACCUGCUUUGACAACGGGUCAAAGUGGGUCACUCCUACGAAACUUGUAACUUAGCAUGGGUCCGAACUUCAAAGUAAUAUUUUUUUAAAUCAACCCGUUAGU
rnacentral:lncRNA from 1 species